rnacentral:misc_RNA from 1 species
GUCAGUUUUGUUGACGUUUGUUGUUCUCAGUGCGUGUGGACGACACCUGUUAGAGUCUUGUCAUGUGAUCUACGGGAGGUAUGAGUUUGUCUCCAUGAAGGAUGUGUACAAGUAAAGGAGGUUGGAGCAAGAUGCAGCAGAACUCAAGGAAAGAAACUUAAUAGAUUCAACAGGUGGAAGAUUAGCAGCUUCUACCUGAGAAGAUGCCGUCCUUAUUUGCAUGCUUUGGGUGUGGUGGAGGUGGGGAGAGUGAUGAUAUUCGAACGCUGGACUACUGUCACUGUUCCCUCAAUGAUGUUCCGUCGGAUGUCUUUGCCUGCGAGCGUACCUUAGAAGAGCUUUAUCUGGAUUCAAAUCAGCUGAGUGAAUUACCACGACAGUUGUUUUAUUGUCAUGGUUUACGGAUACUUGGUCUGAGUGACAAUGAGCUCACCUCACUGCCUCCUGCUGUGGCUUCCCUUAUAACCCUCACCAAUAUUGACCUCAGCAAGAAUGCCAUUUCUGACAUCCCAGACCACAUCAAAGGCUGCAAGCAGCUGAGUGUGGUGGACGCCAGUAUCAACCCUCUGUGCCGACUCCCUGAAGGCUUCACACAAUUGCUUUCAUUACAAGAACUAUAUCUCAAUGAUACUUUUCUGGAAUAUCUACCUGCAAACUUUGGUCGGCUGUCGCGACUAAAGAUUUUGGAGCUACGUGAAAAUCAGCUGAACACUCUGCCAAAGUCCAUCGCACGUCUCACCAGUUUGCAGCGCCUGGAUGUUGGCCAGAAUGAUUUUUCAGAAUUACCAGAGGUAAUUGGCAGUCUUGAGAACUUGACUGAAUUGUGGUUUGACAACAACAAGAUUAAGUCGCUUCCUCCUCUCCUUGGUCGGCUGAAGAAACUGGUUCAUGUUGACGCGUCUAAAAACAAAGUGGACUGGGUGGCUGGUGAGGUGGAGAAUUGUGUCAUGCUCACUGACCUGCACCUCUCCUCCAAUAACCUUAAGGAACUUCCUGAGAAGCUGGGAGGUUGUCAGCAACUCCAGGUGCUAAAGCUUGAUGACAAUGCCCUAACUCACCUUCCUGAGUCAGUUGGUUGUCUGGCUGCCCUUGAAGAGCUGGUGGUCACCCAGAAUGAGUUAGAGACUCUGCCAGCAUCAAUGGGUCUCCUCCGUGCACUACACACCUUACACGUCGAUGAUAAUCUUUUAACAGAGCUGCCACCAGAGUUGGGGUCAUGUUCUCAGCUCACUGUCCUCACGGCCGCUUCAAAUCGCCUCAUGAGUGUGCCAGCUGAGCUUGGCCAUUUGCCUCGUCUUGCUAUUCUUAACUUAUGUGAUAAUCUAAUUCUUCACCUGCCUGUGUCUCUCACCAAGCUGAAGCUGCGAGCCCUGUGGUUGUCAGAGAACCAGAACAAACCUCAAGUCCAGUUACAGUCUGAGACCCUGCCUGAGACUGGUCAACGAGUCCUGACCUGUUUCAUGCUUCCCCAACAACCUCGUGUUCUCCAGCCAGAAACUGUAGUGGAGACAGACAACUUCCCUGGCCAGAGUUGGGACGAACAGCGACGAGCAAAAACACUCAUUAAAUUUGCCUUCGACGGAGACGUUGACAAGCCGGGUCUCUUAACCCGUGCUCCAACGCCCUACCCAAAAGAGCUCAAGGCACUGGCUAAACAUGCCCGUAACUUACACAGUCUGCAAAGGGACCCAGGCCGUCAGUUUGUGCUGGGACGUAGUCAGGAUUCUAACAAAACUUCCUCAUCAUCAAUAAUUCCAUCAACAAAAGAUGAAACUGAGAUAGAUUCGUCCAGAAAGGGUAAUGACAUUGCACUGAAGCAGCCAUUACUAGAUCAGUCUGGUAAUGCUUGUGUCCCUGUUGAUGACUCACUGGAGGCAGAAGAGAUCACCUCACCUCUAACAGUAAUAGAACCACAGGCUGAGGAGCGUCCACUGCUGCGGGAGGCUCGCAAUGUCCGCAACACCUACGGCAACAUGACCAGUGCCUCGGCUGCCCUCAACAACAAAAAUAACGCCAGUCUUUCCAACGUAUCUAAGCAUGUGACCCCAGAUACUGCGAUGGCAACUGACCGUCCUUAUGCCAUCGGGGAUAGAAAGAUGUUUGGUCAUGCACAGGUUGUGGCAAUGACUCAAUCUCGGGAUAAAGUGGUGAUCGACCCCAGUAAACCUGUUGUGUCUGGUAUGGAGGAGAGCAGAGCACAAGUUGCUUACCCAACACACGAGUCUUCCCCGCCAUUAUCCCAAGAAACCACCAUAGCUGCCACUCCAUCAUCUGCAACAGAAGGGGAAUUGGCAGGUGAUGUCUCAGACAAGCGCAUUAAGAAACCGCCGCCUUACCACAUUGCAGCUGUGAUGUCACGGCACGCUGCAGAUUUUAACGAAUCUAGUGUGGAGGUUUCUUCGGCACCCAGUGGUAUCCAGGGCAGUACUGGACUCACUGUUAAGGAUCUGCCAACGUCACAACAGAACUCAGCUGCCUCACCAGCAGCAGAAGAUGAGAACAACGACACAAGUAGCUCCAGUGACAGUGGCUAUGGCAAUGGGAAGAUAUCCAGUCAACAGAUUACUGAUGACCAACACUGCAGUGAUGGCAGUAGUAUCAACACUCCUUUAUCUCCACAAAACCUCACAGACUCUGCACUAUCAAUGCCCUCAACAUUAUCAUCACCACUUGGCAGUGCUGAUGUAGUGUCUCCACAUUCUGUCAAAUCCUUCAAUACACCAAUGUCAUUAUCUUCUAAAGCAUCUUCUUUAUCAGCAUCUGUUGCAGUCUCCUCCAAUGUAACACUACCAGUAAGUAGCCAGUCACUUGCUGCACCACAGAAUAUAUCUUCAGCCAUGUCACUGUCAUUUCCCGUCUCUUGCCCUUCCUACGACAACUUUCAAAACCCCAUCACAUCAAGAUCUGGGGAAGUUUCUUACCCAGUAUACAGUGUUGCCACAUCCAAUGCCAGACCAGCUUCUAUUGCCACUGGAACUCAGUUAGAGCAUUGCAGCGCUCGAGUGCCACAUCGACCGGGAUCCCUUGCCCUAGGAACUCUGGCAGAUUCCGCCCUGCUCAACAGAUUGCCUCGUGACCAGCGGCCGGGAUCUUUGGCUGCUCCCAUCAAUACCUUGGGCAUACCACCAGCACCUGCCAGAGCAGUGUCUCACAUGGGACUUAAUGUCACAAGUCCAACUAGACCACACGACCUGUCAAUGUUCAAGAACCAGGAUUUGACUCCAACCAGACGGGGAUGGACCCCAGACCAACAGUCCUUUGGUGGAACAACUAACCAUUGGCAGGAGAGUAAUGGCCUUGUCUCCAUUAUUGAUCAGGUGACGAGCAGCUUGCUAGAGCAUGGUGAUAGUCCACCACCCAAUAUGUUGGCCAGUAAAGUAGUGCCGUCCUCCAACACUAUGUCUGUGACACCGGUGCCAUCAGUUGGAUAUUCUCAGAUCACCACUCACUCUGGUAUAUAUGAAUCCUCAAGAAAGGCUUCAGUCACUUCUGUGAAUGCAUUUUCAUCAGGAGUUCACUUAAGUUCUGGUAGUGGUAGUGAGUGCCAGGAUAGUAGUAGGUCCUCAGUAGGUGGUGUUGGCUCUUCUGUUGGUCCCACAAACUUCACACAGGAUCAGCCACGAGGAGAGGUGCUGCACCCAACACCCCACCGCCCACAUCUCUCCUCCUCUAGUUCAAGGCUAACCCAUGAAUCCUUACAAGAUGCUAUAACUUCUGCCCAAGAUACUCCCAGUGAUCUUCAGCAAGCGGCCGGUCAUGAAUUACGCCCUGAAGCACCCCAGGCCCGUGAAGGGGUGAAUGGUGUGGGGAACGCUGAGUCCACUCUUUCUUCUAUAAAGGCCGCCCCAAAGCCCCUCUCAAGAAUUCCAUCUCGGAGCCCUGAAACAGCUCUACCUGUUAAGAACCUUCAGAAAGACUCCCCCAUCUCUAGUCACUCAUCUCACUUGCACCACGAGUCCAGAAUUCCCACUUUGGGUAGUAUGGGACGCAGCCCAAGUAGUGAGACUCAUUCUUCUGUCGAAUCUAGAAUACCAACUCCAGGUAAUAUGGGCACAAGUCCAGGUGGUCUGACUCAAGAAUCAAGAGUUACUUCACACUCUCACAUUCCCUCAUUAAAUUCCAAAGGACCUAGUUCAAGUAACUUGACUCAUGAUAAACACAUACUGGGUGAGUCUCGCAUACCAAUGUUAAGCAGUGUGGGACGAACUCCCAGUAACUUAACACAUGAUUCCCAGAUUUAUGGCGAGACCCUUAAACCUGUGGGUUACAGCCCCAGUGCUGAACCCCAUAACAUGAGUGAUUCUCGGAUUCCCGUAAUAGGAAUGAUGGGCCGAACCUCCAGUAACCUGACUCGUGAGUCCCUUGGUAUGGGUGCAGGUAAACACGGCAGCCCAGAUGUAAUUACAGGAAAUAAAAAUUUCACCCCCAACAAUAAAUCCCAAAUAGCAGGAAGCCCUGGGAGUAAUGGAUCUGGUAUUCCAUCACUGGUCACACAAGGCAGAAGCAGCAGUAACCUGAGCUCCAACAUACCUAGUCCUGGCACUGUCUCAAUUGGUAUGCAGAGUGAUGCCAGCAAACACCAGGUUGUGUAUGGAUAUGCCUCUAAACCACAGAAUCUUGGAGAUACUGGCCAGAUGUCUUCACCGUCACGGCUUCACUCGCCAGGAUAUUCUACUGGGAUUCGUCCUCCCACAAUUCACUCACCUAAUCAACAGCAGCCAUCACACCAGCCCCAGGUGAGGGGAUAUCCCAGCGGCAUACGUCCCCCGACAGUCAAUGCAGCCAUCAACACACCCGGCAUCCCAAUACCAUCUCCCGCUUCUCCGACCAGCCAGUUAAUGAACCCUGGCUCUCGUGGCUCUGUCACCUCCACGGGAUCAGCUUCUCGCAUCCCAAUGGCUGCAGGUGGGGCUGCAUCUAGGUUACCAACCCCAGGGACCAACAAGCUGCGGAUGUCACCAUCAGUGGCGCCGUCUCCAGAUGGCAGCAAGACCAACCACUCUGCCUGGAUGUUUGGUCAACACAAGAAUGCCCGAGUGGUAUGUCAGAAUACCAGGAAAUUUUGGGUUCCUGAACGAAGAGUUUCCAAGUUUCACAACAAAUGUUCCCGGUAGUAAUAGAAAAGAAUCCAGAUUUGGGCUUUGCCGUUGGCCAGUCACACACUGACCCAGAGGAUAAGAGCAUAUAUGUGAUGAGUGUUGUGGGUGGAGGAGCUGCGUCGUCUGCACUCAAAGUUGGAGACAAGCUCUU